rnacentral:rRNA from 1 species
AUUGAACGCUGGCGGCAGGCCUAACACAUGCAAGUCGAACGAGUGGCGGACGGGUGAGUAAUGGCUGGGAAACUGCCUGAUGGAGGGGGAUAACUACUGGAAACGGUAGCUAAUAACGCAUACCAUCGGAUGUGCCCAGAUGGGAUGAGCUAGUAGGUGGGGUAACGGGUCACCUAGGCGACGAUCCCUCGCUGGUCUGAGAGGAUGACCAGACACACGGGAACAGAGACACGGGGCAGCAUCCUACGGGAGGCAGCAGUGGGGAAUAGUGGACAAUGGGCGCAAGCCUUAUGCAGCCAUGCCGCGUGUAGGAAGAAGGCCUUAGGGUUGUAAAGUACUUUCAGCGGGGAAGCGGUACCCGCAGAAGAAGCACCGGCUAACUCCGUGCCAGCAGCCGCGGUAAUAC